UGGGGAAUAUUGCACAAUGGGCGCAAGCCUGAUGCAGCCAUGCCGCGUGUGUGAAGAAGGCCUUCGGGUUGUAAAGCACUUUCAGCGGGGAGGAAGGCGAUAAGGUUAAUAACCUUGUCGAUUGACGUUACCCGCAGAAGAAGCACCGGCUAACUCCGUGCCAGCAGCCGCGGUAAUACGGAGGGUGCAAGCGUUAAUCGGAAUUACUGGGCGUAAAGCGCACGCAGGCGGUCUGUCAAGUCGGAUGUGAAAUCCCCGGGCUUAACCUGGGAACUGCAUUCGAAACUGGCAGGCUAGAGUCUUGUAGAGGGGGGUAGAAUUCCAGGUGUAGCGGUGAAAUGCGUAGAGAUCAGGAGGAAUACCGGUGGCGAAGGCGGCCCCCUGGAGAAAGACUGACGCUCAGGUGCGAAAGCGUGGGGAGCAAACAGG
rnacentral:rRNA from 1 species